rnacentral:rRNA from 1 species
UACGUAGGUGGCAAGCGUUGUCCGGAAUUACUGGGCGUAAAGAGCGCGCAGGCGGCUGGUCAAGUCCGAUGUGAAAGCUCCCGGCUUAACUGGGAAAUUGCAUCGGAAACUGAUCGGCUUGAAGGUGGGAGAGGGUAGUGGAAUUCCCGGUGUAGUGGUGAAAUGCGUAGAUAUCGGGAGGAACAUCAGUGGCGAAGGCGGCCUGCUGGGCUGUUGCUGACGCUGAGGCGCGACAGCGUGGGGAGCAAACAGG